ACAUCGGUAGUAUACAAGUACAGUUGCCUUCCAAGCAAAAAGCCCACCUUGGCCGAUGUAA
rnacentral:tRNA from 1 species